CGCGGCCUAUCAGCUUGUUGGUGGGGUAGUGGCCUACCAAGGCGACGACGGGUAGCCGGCCUGAGAGGGCGACCGGCCACACUGGGACUGAGACACGGCCCAGACUCCUACGGGAGGCAGCAGUGGGGAAUAUUGCACAAUGGGCGCAAGCCUGAUGCAGCAACGCCGCGUGAGGGACGACGGCCUUCGGGUUGUAAACCUCUUUCAGCUCCGACGAAGCUCCGUCCUUCUCGGGGCGGAGUGACUGUAGGAAGCAGAAGAAGCACCGGCUAACUACACGAUGCGCAGCAGCCGCGUGUAAUACCGGUAGGGUGCGAGGCGUUUGUCCGGAAUUAUUGGGCGUAAAGGGCUCGUAGGCGGUCUGUCGCGUCUGCCGUGAAAGCCCGGAGCUUAACUCCGGGUCUGCGGUGGAUACGGGCAGACUAGAGUUCGGUAGGGGAGACUGGAAUUCCUGGUGUAGCGGUGAAAUGCGCAGAUAUCAGGAGGAACACCGGUGGCGAAGGCGGGUCUCUGGGCCGAUACUGACGCUGAGGAGCGAAAGCGUGGGGAGCGAACAGGAUUAGAUACCCUGGUAGUCCACGCCGUAAACGGUGGGCGCUAGGUGUGGGAUCCACUUCCACGGAUUCUGUGCCGUAGCUAACGCAUUAAGCGCCCCGCCUGGGGAGUACGG
rnacentral:rRNA from 1 species